rnacentral:lncRNA from 1 species
GGAUGCGGUGACCUAUGAGGAUGUGUAUGUGAAAUUCACUCAUGAAGAGUGGGCUUUGCUGGAUCCAUCCCAGAAGAGUCUCUACAAAGAUGUGAUGCUGGAGACAUGCAGGAACCUCACUGCUAUAGGUUACAAAUUGGAAGAUGACAACAUUGAAGAACACUGUCACAGUUCCGGAGGACGUGGAAGGUAUAACAUCUAUAAUUGCAGAUACAAGCCUUGCGAACAUAGGGGACACAGCAAGAAGCAAUGUACCUUUGCACAUAAGCGUUUUCUUCAAAC